ACUGGAGACUCUCAGUCUGUCAGGCUGUCUGAUCUCAGAGGAAGGCUGUUCUUCUUUGGUCUCAGCUCUGAGUUCCAACCCCUCCCAUCUGAGAGUGCUGGACCUGAGCUACAAUCAUCCAGGAGACUCAGGAGUGAAGCUACUCUCAGCAGGACUGAAGGAUCCUCUCUGGAAACUGGACACUCUCAGGGUGGAGCCUGCUGGAGUCAGAUGGUUGACACCAGGUCUGAGGAAGU